rnacentral:misc_RNA from 1 species
UCGACCCUCAAGCAUAGCUUGGUGUUGGGUGAAGUCCUUAAGGGGACCCACCCCUAACUCGUAGGCGGUCAUCGCCCGCUUCCCCCAGCAUAGCAGGCUCACGCACUUGCUCGGGGACGGGUGGUUUGACCCCGCUCAAUAAAAACCCUUUUUUCAAAG